AGCCAUGUUAUAUGCACUCUAUUAUCUGUUGGAGCACAUGGGUGCUCGUUAUCCCUCCCAUCAAGUUGCCCCGGGAUUUACAGCCCAACACACAUAGGCCACUAAUAAUCUAUGUAUGCUUCUUUUAAACAGUGAAUAUGGCCCACAUCUGAAGUCCAUGAAACAUGACUAUGUGAGGCACUUUCACACCGGAUCGAAUGUCAGAGCACCAUAUGGGUCGUCCAAGACGAGAUUCUGGACUAACAGAGUCAUUUUCGAGCCGAUUUAUUAUGUCUGACUCAUGCAUGUGGCUUCCCUUCCCCUACACAACUAAAGCUCGUCCCUCACUGGCUAAAGUGAACUCCACCUAGAUCCACCAUUCCCCCGCAGUCAAUUCUUCCUCAUCAGCCAUUCCCGAAGAGAUCUUGCCGCUCAUUCCUGGCUUCGAUUGCGGAGAGCAGAUCAUCACAUAGAUUGCCCAUAGUGUGGCAAAUGUCGGCAAUCUGCCCCCGGUCACCUGCAACCACAAGAGUCCCUUUAGUAUGAAUCAGAUUCACACCAUAACCAUUUGCAACAAUCUAGUCCUCUAAUACAAGCCCAUCAUAAUUCUCAAUAGUCAUUAAAAUAUGGAAUCAAAACAGCUAACAAUCUAUCAUGUAUCCAAAAUUGACACCUAUGCUUAUCAUACAUGCCGGAGAAAAAUAGCUACAAUGUUGCUGUCAAGAUAACAUUUUGGAAGCAUUUUCUCUCAAAUAAGUAUUAAUAGAUCAGACACUGACAAAAUGAUUAUGGUAGUGUAAACCAAACAAAAUGACAUGGCCCACACACCAAUCUAUUCAGGAGUGUUACAUUAAUCCAACAAUUUGUUCAGCGCAUGGUAGCUAUAUAAGUAAUCCAGAUAUCAUUCGUGUUGACAGAAAUUAGCAAUGCUCCCAAGUACAUACAAAAUUGUCGAGAGAGAAUUUCCUAGCUUGCUGAGUUUCCAAAGACUGGACUUCUUAAUAAUGACACACCUUCAUGUCCAUGCAGGAGCUUUAGGGUCGAUCAGGCCAUAGAUUUCUUCGAUGUUGGCGACGAAUCUUCCGUUCAAGCUUCCGUUGCCCCUCCACCACACAUAUUUGCGCGUCUCCACUCACUCCCCUCAUAGGCGGCCGCUGCACGACAUGUUGAGCCACUCAUGGCUGUCUCCACUCACUCCCCUCAUAGGAAUAGUGAACCGUAAAAAUAUUUUCAGAGUAUUAGGCUUGUAUCAUGAAUUAUGUUCGCUUCUAUCAAUGCUUCAAGACGCAAAGCUUUUUGUGUUUGCUAAGAAAACUAAGCAAAUAUGAAGGUAAAAGGAAAUCAUCAAUAUAAUUCCGCAAAAACUACUACAUGGAACGGACAUGAAAUGUUGCGGAAAUUGCUGAAUCUUGCUUUUCUGGAACAACGAUAUAGAGUGUUCACUACUGACUUGCACAUACUUUGCAAUCAGAAAAAAUCUUCAUCAAGUAUGUAGACGCGGUGAAAGGGAAUACAACAUACAAAAUCUAGAUACAGAAUUCAAGAUAAUAAAGCUAGAUGGAGCUAACACGACACAAUAUGCUUCAUCGUUUAGCGGGUACUCCCAUGCAUAUACUAAAUCAUAUAGACAUACACUUCAACCAUCAGAACUAUGCCAGAACUGGAACUGGUUUGUUCUUACAUGUCAUUUCCAGUGAGAAAAGGGGGAUGCUAUACAUUCCAAGUCGCAAAAAUUGUCUUAAAAUUAUAAGAAGCAAACUAAAAAUUAUAAAUAAUCAGAAGAAGUGCUCCCGCUGAGCGAAAACACAUUGCAUCUGAACAAUGCAAAGCAACUGCAGCACAUAAGCUAGCACCUUAUUCAUGCUUUAAAGGUGUACAGUUUGACCACCUACUCGUAGCUACUAUACACAUUCACAAGACAUUAGGCCUUUCAUGUAAUAUUUUUCUAGGCAAGAAAACAUUGCUAUAUGACGUAACUCGUAGUAGUAGGUAAAUUCACAAACUGUGUAUGUUGUAUCAAUGACUCUGCUGUAAUCAAACUUUGAAGCUACAAUCAGAUAAAGGAAUAAUAUGAACUUCAGUUAACUGAUGUAAAAUAACAAAAAGAGGCAUGUCUAAAGAACACAAUGGAAGAAUAGAAAAAUGCAUCUAGAAGAUUACACAUGAUCUAAUCAUAUACCUUGCCACCCAAAAUUUUGCCUUUAUCGUAUCAAUGAGUUUGCUGUAAAUGAGGAAGUAGUAAUUUUUGCACGUACUCUAGGUGUUUUGUCAUCGGUUGAACGACAAGCUUCUUCAUUUUUGGAAACUACACGAACAAGACAAAACAUUUGUUCACAGUAAGUUAGUAACCCUAAAGGAUCUACCUACUCGGAGAAAUUCAUAAGAACAAACUGCAUAUACAGUAAAACACAACGAGCUCUGAAUCAAAGUAUAACUAUUUGAAAAUCUUUGGAGAAGAUCAAACAAUACAUCAUUGCAUCACUACUCGGGGUCACUAACGGAGGCGCCAAUUCCUUCGAGCUGGGGAAAGGGGAAUUGAAGGUGCUCAGCAGAA
rnacentral:lncRNA from 1 species